rnacentral:rRNA from 1 species
UGGCGGACGGGUGAGUAACGCGGGGGUAACCUGCCUCAUACAGGGGGAUAACAGUUGGAAACGACUGCUAAUACCGCAUAAGCGCACGGUAUCGCGUGGUACAGUGUGAAAAACUCCGGUGGUAUGAGAUGGACCCGCGUCUGAUUAGCCAGUUGGUGGGGUAACGGCCUACCAAAGCGACGAUCAGUAGCCGACCUGAGAGGGUGACCGGCCACAUUGGGACUGAGACACGGCCCAAACUCCUACGGGAGGCAGCAGUGGGGAAUAUUGCACAAUGGGGGAAACCCUGAUGCAGCGACGCCGCGUGAACGAAGAAGUAUUUCGGUAUGUAAAGUUCUAUCAGCAGGGAAGAUAAUGACGGUACCUGACUAAGAAGCACCGGCUAAAUACGUGCCAGCAGCCGCGGUAAUACGUAUGGUGCAAGCGUUAUCCGGAUUUACUGGGUGUAAAGGGAGCGCAGGCGGUGCGGCAAGUCUGAUGUGAAAGCCCGGGGCUCAACCCCGGUACUGCAUUGGAAACUGUCGUACUAUAGUGUCGGAGGGGUAAGUGGAAUUCCUAGUGUAGCGGUGAAAUGCGUA